AAAGCUUCAGUUCAGUUAGGAAAUGCCAAGACAUUCCGCAGGUCCCUCGGCGCUGAACCCAUCAACAAGCCAUUCCCUGACUGCGCUCACCUGGAGUAUCAGUCAGACGACUACUGGAGAUGCCACAUCCGUGGCAUGGCGGGUGUGAUGGCGCACAUCAGCGGCACCUGCAAGAUGGCUCCAGACUCCGACCCCAUGGGGGUGGUGACCCCGCGGCUUAAGGUUCGCGGCGUCAAGAAUUUGCGUAUCAUGGAUUCGUCUGUGAUGCCUCAAAUAGUUUCAG